GGUGUCAGUGUCUCCACAUCCUCAGGCGUGGUGCGUUGUGUUUUGUUGCGAGAGUGCACGAAGUUGGAAUAUACAUACACGCUUUACGUUUGUACGUUCGCUGAGUUCUUCCAAAAAACGCAGCUGCUAAUUUACUUAACUUCAAUUAAGUUUAAAUAACUCAAGAUGUGCAAAUGCUUAGCCGGAAACGUUGCAUGCUGCUGCUUCAGCUGCGCACUUAGCAUGCUGCUGUCGAUAAUCAGUGCAUUCUUUGUGGUCAUUGUUAUUGUUGGAUUGCUGGUGUAUUUCUUUUACUACCAUGAGCAGGAUGAUCAUGAUGUCAACAAGAUUAAAAAUGACCUUCAAGACGGGUUUAAAAACACGUACGACAAGAUUAAAAAUGGCCUAAAUUAAUAAUUUAAGAGGUAUUUAUGAUGUGCCAAGCAGUUUUAAAAAUGGCCUUCAAUAAUCAAACUUUUACGGAAUGUGUUUCCUUUUCAAACCGACCACCAUAAUGACC